rnacentral:rRNA from 1 species
AACGAACGCUGGCGGCGCGUCUUAAGCAUGUAAGUCGAACGGCAAGAUUGGUGCUUGCACCGAUCCUAGAGUGGCGGACUGGUGAGUAAGGCGUGGGUGACGUACCCUAAGGAGGGGGAUAUCUGGUAGAAAUAUCAGAUAAUACCUAAUAUCAUUAUUGUUGGUAGAGGACGGUGAGGCAAGGAGCUGCGGCUUCGCUUCAGGAUCGGCCCGCGAACUAUUAGCUAGUUGGUGAGGUAACGGCUCACCAAGGCGACUAUAGUUAUCCGGCAUAAGAGGGUGAACGGACACAUUGGGGCUGAGAUACGGCCCAGACUCCUACGGGAGGCAGCAGCUAAGAAUAUUCCGCAAUGGAGGAAACUCUGACGGAGCGACGCCGCGUGGAUGAUGAAGGCCGUAAGGUUGUAAAAUCCUUUUAAGCAAGAAGAAUAAACUUUACAGGGAAUGGUAGAGUGGUGACGGUAUUGCUUGAAUAAGCAACGGCUAAUUACGUGCCAGCAGCCGCUGUAAGAC